UUCACAGAUAGUCUACUUUGCAUACACACAAGCUGCUGCACAUUCACAAAAGACACAGGACCAGAGCAGAACCAGUCCCUGCUGUCUGAAUUUGAGGAUGAAUCACUCCAUAUUCACAGCUGUGCUGCUGGGAGCAAUCUGUGUUCUUUUUAAGGCUCAGGCUCAUAUAGAUAUUAACGUUGUAGCCUGCCAGACCAAUGACACUGCUCCAGAGGAUGAGAAACAGCAGGAUGGAGAGGAAAUGUUUUAUGUAGACUUUAAAAACAAUGCAGUCAUUUACACCAUACCUGAGUUUGUUGAUAAAUUUACGUAUCCAGGCUGGAUGGCAUCUGCACUGGUUAAUCAUGCGGUCUGCAUUCAUAACUUGAACGGGGCUGUUAAAGCUGAAAAGGACCCACCUGAGCAAAUAGAUCCUCCUCAGAGCACAAUCUUUUCAAGGGAAGAAGUUGAGCUGGGGAAGAGUAACAGUCUGAUCUGCUUUGUGACCAACUUCUAUCCGGCUCCUGUCAAAGUGAAGUGGACCAAGAAUAAUGUUGAAGUGAAGGAUGGAGUGACUCUAAGCCGCUACUAUCCAAACCCUGAUUUGACGUUCCAACAGUUCUCCACUCUGAGCAUCACUCCCCAGGAGGGGGAUGUCUAUUCCUGCAGCGUGGAGCACAAGGGGCUUCCGGAACCCCUAACCAGGAUCUGGGAGCCUGAAGCUAACAAUGAACCAAACACGGCAGCGACAGCGUUCUGUGGAAUAGGACUGACCCUGGGUCUGCUGGGAGUGGGAGUUGGAACUUUCUUCCUCAUCAAAGGAAAUAACUGCAACUAAAAGAGUGAGACCGGGAGGUUUUUCACAGCAGAUGCACAUGGUGCCAGACAGCAACAGCAACAGCAACAGCCACAGCCACGACUACAGCAUCAGCAUCAGCACCAGCACCAGAUACCGCAAAUGUGCCAGCGUUCAGUCGCAAUCAAAUAAAACCGUGUGCAUCCGUCGUGAAAAAACCUCCCGCACUCACUACAGACACGAAUAAUAAGCAAAACAUUAACAAGACAGACAAACACUGCAUUCACUAGUGUCACCAAAUAAUCAUGAGCCUGUCUUACAUUUUAUGUUUCAGACCCUUUAAAACAAAUUCCUUUUAAAUGAUCAGGCAAAUCCUAUCAGCCUAUCUGACUAAAUACUACUAUUGCACAUAAGCAACAAGUCAAUAGAUGUAAACACCUAGUACUAACAGGCACAUGGCCAACAAAGCACCUGGUUAAGAAGAAGUAAAAGUUGAAACUGGGUAAACAAGGGAAACACAGCACAUUGAAGGUAAGAAGUCCCUUUCUAAAAUCCUUCAAAUAUAUAGAAGGGACCAGGGAGAAUUUGCUCCCUCUGCCUACUAUACUUUACUCCCAAAAGUGCAUUCUUUUUUCAUGGGCUUUUUCAGCUUUAUUGGAUAGGAUAGUGAAGAGAGACAGGAAGAACGGGGAUGAGUGGGAGAGACAUGCGAACAUGUUGUGCGGUCGGAUGCGAACUGCUGAUGUCGCGGCUCGCAAUGAGCAAGUGGAUAGUGCUCUACAGGCUACGCCAUGAGACACCCCCCAGAAGUACAUUCUACACAGAUUCUACAUGCUCAGUACUAACAAUUCAGUCUUCCGAACUUCUCUAAUAUUCUCAAUGCCCAAGUAGUUUUCUUAUUGUGCGCUCUCCUUUACAUACUUUCUUCCCACUUAAAACCCAGGGCUGCGUUUCCCAGAGUCUCCUUAGCGCUACGUGCGUCGUAAGGUAUCCCUUAAGCUCUUCCUUUAGCUCUCAAGCUGUUUCCCAGCGUCUCCUUAGCUAAGGUAUACCUUAAUUAAGGUAUACCUUUAAAAGGGUGGUCUGAGGCACUUGUAAGCUGUCCCUUAGCGCUGCGCUCCAGUAAUCCUGUCACAGUUUUGCCUUAUUAUUCCAACAUUAUGCUUUUCAAAUCGACAGUUGUACUACAGUGCGCAUCUAGUACCACAUAGGCAUGCGAAAAUGAGUUUAAUAUUAACUUUAGGAAAAGUAAUUAUCCAAUCAACGUGUCUGUGCAUAGCACGUCGUGAGAAUGUUGUCGUUUUAACUGUCUAUCCCCAUCAUGAUGGUAAUUAAGUAUAGGGCCUAUCCAUGAUACUAAUCCAAUUUGUGAAAAGAAAAAAAAAGUUUUUUUAAAUUUAUACUUAGUGGCACUAACUUAAGACAUGGCUUUUCUGACUGCAUACCCUGUAGAAAUGAGUUCGUUUGUGUGUGAGUCAAUGAUCACACUGACUUGGAACAAACUGCCGGUUUAUUAAGAAUAUAAAACAACGUUGAGUGAGUCUACUUGCAUGACCAAACUAGAGCACGUUGAUUGGACAUAAACACACAUACAGGUACAGUGGCUCAUAAUGGACAAACAUAGCCAAAUGAUCUACAUCCCCUUCCUUUAGCUCACACCUCCUAUAUAAAACAAAAUAGCACUGGGUAAAUAUCAACAUUACGGAACAUUUUUCUUACCAUGUUGUUUUAUGGUUUUAGGUAAACAACAAAAUAAUGAUAUUCUUGGUUAAAUUUAAGAUUAUCCAACAGCAAAUUAAGGUGGAUGAACAAAUCACUUUAACAGGUAGACCUAUUCAUAAGGCACCCGGUAUAGAAUUCAUCAUGAUCAAUUUCCACAGACGCGCUUUUGCCUUUCAUCUACGAUCAUUUUUGCAUUGCAGAGAAAAGUUUGCGGGAAUCAGUGCAGUGCAGUGAUAUGCUGCUACGGUCGCCUAUAUAUUGCGUGACAAAAACAAAUUAACAUUAGACCUUUGUUUCAAUAAGAACAAAAUAAUUCACCCAUAUGUAGCCUAUAUCCUUUUCCCUGGGCUUCCACAAAGUCCCAGACUAUGGCUUAUAUGUCCCGAUUGAUGCUUUUUAUUUUAUCCUUUGUAGCCUAUAUGUACGUAUUUAUUGAAACUAUCACAACGUCUCGUCUUAACGGACUCUUAAAGAGAUUAGCAGAUGAUCUCUAGUAGGCAUAGCUUCCUCUUCUGCAAUAUUAGAUUGAUGUAAAAUGAUUAUGACAACACUUGUUAUAUUAAAACGUCAUUCACAAGCCUUUACAAGUGAGACAAUCGAUUCGCUUGGCAUCGAUUGAUAAACUUUUCAGAACCACAGUGAAGGCCAGCUCCAACUUACGAUGUACCUUUAAGUUGUCCCUUAAGAGUUGCCUUAAGGUAUAGUCUGGGAAACACUCGUAAAAAAGCGGUUUCCCUUAAGAAGGUAUACCUUAAGAACCUUCGUAAAACGUUAAGGUACAUCGAAACUCUUUUCACAAAUUGGAUUAGUAUCAUGGAUAGGCCCUAUACUUAAUUACCAUCAUGAUGGGGAUAGACAGGUAAAACGACAACAUUCUCACGACGUGCUAUGCACAGAAACGUUGAUUGGAAAAUUAAUUUUCGUAAAAAGUUCAUAUUAAACUAUCUAUGUAAUUUUCGCAUGCAGAUGUGCUACUAGAUGCGCACUGUAGUACAACUGUCGAUUUGAAAAGCAAAAUGUUGGCGUAAUAAGGCUGAAACCACGGAGCGCAGCGUUAAGGGACAGCUUACGAGUGCCCCAGACCCCCCUUUUAAAGGUAUACCUUAACUAAGGAGACGCUGGGAAACAGCUCAAGAGCUAAAGGAAGAGCUUAAGGGAUAACUUACGACGCACGUAGCGCUAAGGAGACUCUGGGAAACGCAGCCCAUAUUUAUAGGAAAAAGUACUAAAUCCCCUGAUCCUAUGGGAGUCUGACUCUGUAAACAUACUGGACAUAUUUAUUCUGGGAACCAAAAAAGAAAUACAAUAAUUGUUUUGUAUUUUCUUUAUUCUGUAGGGAUUAUAUGUACUUCUGAUAUCAGGUGGAACCAGAUUCCUUUUUUCAAUCGUAACCCAGGAUGUAUACAACACCAGAUUAAAAGUGGAGUGGAUUGAACAAGGCAGUAAAAUCUGUGAUGCGUUUUCCAAGAAGUCGGCCCAAAUCUCCUGAAAACCUCUCCAAAUAGCACCAAACGUCUCCAAAUUGGAUUAUUGUAUAUAUAUUUUCUCCCAGCCAUAUUCCACUUCUAGAAGCUAAUUCCAUUGAUGGUUGUACCCUCUGGAACAUUGCUGUCGUUUUGGAGAGAUUCUAUGUACAAAAUGUGUUCAUGGUUAGUUAUCACACCAACUAAAUUAAGUUAAAAACAACCAAACCUCUUGGUUUUACCUUACUGAGUAAUCUAAAUUCAGCUGCCAUACUUCUGGAAAACAGGCUUGUAACAGUAAACCUCCUGAUGACAACAGAGUGAGGGCUCACAAGGAGGAAAAUGACAAAAAUAUAUAAUCGAAUCAUAAACGAAUUAAAAUAAUAUUGUGCCCUUUAUCACUACUGCAGUGUCUUUUUGCAGAUAAACAAACAAAGCUCAGAUAAGCAACCGAUAAAGUGUGCGCUAAGCUUCCAUUCAUGCAUUCAUUCCAUUCCGAUGCAAAAACGUGAAGUGAGUCAGUACAGUAGAAUAGCAAAGCCGUAGUUUCACCUAGAAGGAAGUUGUAAACUGCGUUCGAAAUCUACACUGAGCUUGAAGAACACGACACUGUAUGAUUACUGUAACGUAUAUGGGGUUUCCAAGCAGGGGCUAAAGUCAAGACCCGCUUAGAGAGGGUCAAUGUUUUCAGGUAGUACAGUAGCUUGCUUUUAGGCUAUUUACUCGGCACUGGAAUGUCUAAUUCAAAUCAUUUUUUCACUGUUUGUAAGGUAAGAAGUUGCUUUUUUUUUAUAGAAAAACUGCACUUUUCGCAUUUGAAAUUCUAUUUGCAUACAUAGAAAAGUUUGUGUUCAAAUCCUCCUGAAAAGGUUUUCGGCUUAAUGGAAAUAAUGCAGAAUGCAUGGUGACAUUUACUUGUCUGUGUACAAAGAGCAGAUUGAUUACUUAGGGCUCUGAGGGGGAUUUCAAGAUAUCAAUAUCAUCACCGUAGUAUUAGGGUGUCAAUUUCAGCCAUACUUUGGGGAAGGGGACUGCCUUGUUAUUUAGUUUGUUUUUUAUUUUUUUUUUAUGAUUUUACUGAUCGAGACAGGGUUUUUUGCAUCAAAGUGCGUAGAGUAUAAGCUUUACAGUGGUGUAGGUGUUACAGCAGUGUGCCUUGAAUUAGUGACGGAUAAAAGCAAUGAUUUACCUGCCGGCAACCUCAAGGAAUUCAUUAGGUUAAUUUAUUUCCAGUUUGCAUAAGUUGAUAUUUGCAUUGUUAAUGUAUCAAUUGGUAAGUUUUAUAACAUAAGUACAUUAUUGUACUGGGAUUAUUGGCUAAACAAUUGUUUAUCCCCUAGAGUGACAUCAGCCAACUGAAUUGAAACUAAUUAAAUAUUGUAUACAUGGACAUGAAUCAUUGAUCAGCCCUGUAUUCUGUGGCAAACUAUAGCCUAAGCUGUGCUUUUGACUGCAUGCUACAAUUGAUUAAAAUUCUAGUUUACCUUUCAUUUUAGAAUCUAUUGCCACUGAGUUGUAGUAUACAGUCAAAAUGCUUGUAGUAUUAUCAGUCAGGUGUCUUUUUCUUCUUUUUUUGCUUUCCAAAACAGGAGAUUUUAGGGUCUUAACUCUGGAGAAUCACUACUAGUAAUUCUCCAUUAAUAAUUCUCAAUUAAUAAUCUUAUCCAUUAUAACAUGCGUUAAAUUUUUGCAAUGCAAUAUAACUGGAUAAAGGAAUCCGUGCAAACCCACAUUUUCAUAAAUGUACUGCCUUGAUUCAUUUCAAAAGUACCACAGGACACCACUUGCUAAAUAUCGUGGUCAAACACUCACUCAGUAUAUUUUGCAAAUGUACUGUGAGUUUAAUGUAAAUGUUAAACAUCGGUUGGUUCACAUGAAUUAUGAUAAGUCUUUAAAUAAUAUUUUUUUUCAUUUUGUCCAGGUCUUCAUGAAGACUCAAGAUCAAGACAUGGAGAAGACUCAUGAACUCAUGAUCAGUUUCUUCAGUGUGUUAAAAUAAAUUUCCUUCAUGUUGUAAA